UACGUAGGGUGCGAGCGUUAAUCGGAAUUACUGGGCGUAAAGCGUGCGCAGGCGGUUUUGUAAGACAGGCGUGAAAUCCCCGGGCUUAAACUGGGAAAUGCGUUUGUGACUGCAAGGCUAGAGUAUGGCAGAGGGGGGUAGAAUUCCACGUGUAGCAGUGAAAUGCGUAGAGAUGUGGAGGAAUACCGAUGGCGAAGGCAGCCCCCUGGGUCAAUACUGACGCUCAUGCACGAAAGCGUGGGGAGCAAACAGG
rnacentral:rRNA from 1 species